rnacentral:lncRNA from 1 species
UGGCUUAUGACAAUGUGAUGGCAUGAAUGGCUGGAUUUGUGUUUUGUAUGGAAUAUAUAAACUGUUUUGUUUUGCCGUGACACAGGCUGGGUAAUAUUAUAUUAGCCAUGUCAUGUUGUCGAAAUAUUGAUUGAUUUGGUGGGUUAUUUGAUUAGCUUACUGCAGUGGGCGGGUUUUUGUGGACCAGCCUAUUAGAGGGGCACGGUAAACCCCGUUAUAUUUUACCUUAGUAUGAGAGGCGCGAAGGGUAUCUCCUAAGGUAUAUUUAGAGUUCACUUCACGCCGAACCACCAUGUGAGGGUGAAACU